CCACGGGAGGCUCCAGUGGGGAAUUUUGCGCAAUGGGCGAAAGCCUGACGCAGCAAUACCGCGUGAGUGAAGAAGGCCUUUGGGUCGUAAAGCUCUUUUCUGGGGGAAGAUAGUGACGGUACCCCAGGAAUAAGCACCGGCUAACUCCGUGCCAGCAGCCGCGGUAAUACGGAGGGUGCAAGCGUUGUUCGGAUUUACUGGGCGUAAAGGGCACGUAGGCGGCACAGCAAGUUAAGGGUGAAAUCCCGGGGCUCAACUCCGGAACUGCUCUUAAAACUGCUGAGCUAGAGAUAGUCAGAGGCGGGUGGAAUUCCUGGUGUAGAGGUGAAAUUCGUAGAUAUCAGGAGGAACACCGGUGGCGAAGGCGGCCCGCUGGGGCUAUUCUGACGCUAAGGUGCGAAAGCGUGGGGAGCGAACGGGAUUAGAUACCCGGGUAGUC
rnacentral:rRNA from 1 species